AAUUAUGUUACUGUUCUAACGUUUUAAAAAUUUUGUUUUAGAGUGUUCAAUAAAUGUUUAUCCUGUUCGGCCCGCGACCUAAGGUAUGUUUUGCUUUUCAACCCGUGUGCUGAGUUUGACACCUCCUAAGUUAAGGAAAUAAACAGUUCUUUAGCACUUAAAAAAAAAAAAAAACCUCACUGUUCGAACUGUUUUCAGGCUUCUUAAAUUCACUAAUUAUUCAAUCUGGGUAACGACGAGCGCCUCGUUGACCUUGCGAGGAAACGAAUAUCUUCUUAUAUCUUCCUGUUUUUCAGGCUAAUUUAAGGAAACAGUGCUUAAUCUUUCAAAAAAGAGGCAAAACACAACCGCAGCGGGAGGAUCCCCGCGGCUGAUGAGCACCAUCCAGGCCCGGGUGUGUAACUGGCACCGGGUCCGGCCGCCAUGGAUCAAACAGUCGUAACCUCCUGUUCCAAAGAUAAGCUGCAGUCAGAUCUGCGGGGGAUCUUUAACCAGAGAGGAGUCUGUUGGGGAUUUUUGGGUAGCUGCUGUGGAGCGUUCUGCAGACUGACACUUGAUCUAAGAGGGGAAAACUAAUACAACCGGAUGCGAUAUCAAUGGUUUUUCUCUGAGAGGGGGAUUUCCUGCUGCCUUUUAGGCAUAUAAGCGGACCGGCACACCUCAGUGCUUCACCAGCGCAACAUUGUCAGAACGCAUGAGGGCAAAAGCUGACGUCCUCAUCACCUCCAACCCUAAAAACAGCUCUGGAGGCAGCAGAGUAGCACUGAUUGAGAGCAACACCUGUCAGGCCUCUCCCGGUCUCCAGAGGGAGAGCGCCGCGAGCCCGAGCACCGAGGCGUUUCAGAGCAGAGGAUGCAGUCCUAUUAACGUCUCUCUGAACAGAGUAAAGCGUGCUGAUAUGCUCUAAAUACAUUUCAUUAUCAUCAUCAUGAUUAUAUCACUAAUUGUGUGUACUCAGUAAUAUGCAGCAACAGCUACCUCCUGGGAGGAAAGGCUGAAUGAUUAAAACAUGUACCAUGAA